AUUGAACGCUGGCGGCAGGCCUAACACAUGCAAGUCGAGCGGAUGAAGGGAGCUUGCUCCUGGAUUCAGCGGCGGACGGGUGAGUAAUGCCUAGGAAUCUGCCUGGUAGUGGGGGAUAACGUCCGGAAACGGGCGCUAAUACCGCAUACGUCCUGAGGGAGAAAGUGGGGGAUCUUCGGACCUCACGCUAUCAGAUGAGCCUAGGUCGGAUUAGCUAGUUGGUGGGGUAAAGGCCUACCAAGGCGACGAUCCGUAACUGGUCUGAGAGGAUGAUCAGUCACACUGGAACUGAGACACGGUCCAGACUACUACGGGAGGCAGCAGUGGGGAAUAUUGGACAAUGGGCGAAAGCCUGAUCCAGCCAUGCCGCGUGUGUGAAGAAGGCCUUCGGAUUGUAAAGCACUUUAAGUUGGGAGGAAGGGCAGUAAGUUAAUACCUUGCUGUUUUGACGUUACCAACAGAAUAAGCACCGGCUAACUUCGUG
rnacentral:rRNA from 1 species